rnacentral:rRNA from 1 species
AUUUGUCUGGUUAAUUCCGAUAACGAACGAGACCUUAACCUGCUAACUAGAUCUUAUUAUCUUAUAAUUUGCAUCUUCUUAGAGGGACUAUGUAAUCUAAAUACAUGGAAGUUUGAGGCAAUAACAGGUCAGUGAUGCCCUUAUAUGUCCUGGGCUGCACGCGUGCUACACUGAUGCAUACAACAAGUGCCUAACCAGACAUGGUACGGCAAUCUCGAAUAUGCAUCGUGAUGGGGAUAGAUCUUUGCAAUUAUAGAUCUUGAACGAGGAAUUCCUAGUAAGUGCAAGUCAUCAUCUUGCAUUGAUUAUGUCCCUGCCCUUUGUACACACCGCCCGUCGCUCCUACCGAUACCGGGUGAUCCGGUGAACCUUUUGGACUCAUUGAGAAAGAUAAGUAAACCAUAUCACCUAGAGGAAGGAGAAGUCGUAACAAGGUUUCCGUAGGUGAACCUGCRGAAGGAUCA